rnacentral:rRNA from 1 species
GACGAACGCUGGCGGCGUGCUUAACACAUGCAAGUCGAACGGAAAGGCCCUGCUUUUGUGGGGUGCUCGAGUGGCGAACGGGUGAGUAACAAGUGAGUAACCUGCCCUUGACUUUGGGAUAACUUCAGGAAACUGGGGCUAAUACCGGAUAGGUGCUCCUGCUGCAUGGUGGGGGUUGGAAAGUUUCGGCGGUUGGGGAUGGACUCGCGGCUUAUCAGCUUGUUGGUGGGGUAGUGGCUUACCAAGGCUUUGACGGGUAGCCGGCCUGAGAGGGUGACCGGCCACAUUGGGACUGAGAUACGGCCCAGACUCCUACGGGAGGCAGCAGUGGGGAAUAUUGCACAAUGGGCGGAAGCCUGAUGCAGCAACGCCGCGUGCGGGAUGACGGCCUUCGGGUUGUAAACCGCUUUCGCCUGUGACGAAGCGUGAGUGACGGUAAUGGGUAAAGAAGCACCGGCUAACUACGUG